ACUUUUGUUGUAUUAAUCUUCCUUUAGUCCUGGACUAACUUUUACUGGCUGAACCCAAGGCAGGCUGCUGGCAGGCUUUCCAGCUCUUGGGGAAAUAAAAAGAGGGCAAAGGGAUGAAGACAUGCUCAAAGCCUUUUCUGAGUUCCUGGAGGUGGUUGGUUGUGUGUGUGGCAGCUGGUCUCUGGGAGAAUAACAGCAAGGCUGAAAGCACACAAACAGUGCUUGACUGGGGCUGGGCAAGAAUGUUCUUCAGCCUUUGCUGCUGCUGUUGUUAUCAACCGACACCCACAUCCUGGCAUCUCUGAAUGCAGACAGUCCAGUGAGGAAAAGGAUAGGACUGAAAUCCCAAGGUGAAAAGUAACUACAAGCUCCUGGGCACCAGGAAGCUGUGAAUCACUCAAACGUGUGAUCUUGCAGCUUUAAUAAAAGCCUGACUUCCUCCA
ensembl:lncRNA